rnacentral:misc_RNA from 1 species
ACCUACUGUUUGAUUUUGAGGGUUCGUUUUUACGAAUACUCAAAAUUAGCACUUUAAGCAACGGGAUUUAUCCGUUGGCGCCGUGCUUUAGCACUUUUAGCAACAGAAUAAACUGAACGCAUGUGAAGUUUGUUUGUUGGCGCUGUGCGUUAGCACUUUAAGCAACGGAAUUUAUUCGUUGGCGCCGUGCUUUAGCACUUUGAAAACUGCAUAUAUAUUUAGUGAUAUGACAUCUAAUUUGUAAUAUAUAAAGCUGAUAACUUUUUAAAAUUAUCGAAGUUGAUAGCUUCUAAUCUAUCAAACCUUUUUAACUGGUCAA